GGAGCUGACACAAGUCCUAUUUAGAUACAGAGAAGGAGUUUUGGAGAUCAGUCUUUCAGCAGGACUUUCUUCAACAAGGUGAUCUUUUUCUCCCACGGCUUUCUGCCACAGCUGGAUGAAGUCUUUGUGAGGAUACAUAUUUUUAAGAAAGUAUCCCCUCCCCCUGCCCAUGAACUAAACAUGCUGAUAAUCAAUCUGACGUCAGGUGGAGCAUCCAGAAGAAACUCACACUUGCUGUCAGUGCUAGCUCUCACUUCUGC